rnacentral:rRNA from 1 species
GAUGAACGCUGGCGGCGUGCCUAAUACAUGCAAGUCGAGCGAACGGACGAGAAGCUUGCUUCUCUGAUGUUAGCGGCGGACGGGUGAGUAACACGUGGAUAACCUACCUAUAAGACUGGGAUAACUUCGGGAAACCGGAGCUAAUACCGGAUGAUAUUUUGAACCGCAUGGUUCAAAAGUGAAAGACGGUCUUGCUGUCACUUAUAGAUGGAUCCGCGCUGCAUUAGCUAGUUGGUAAGGCAAUGGCUUACCAAGGCAACGAUGCAUAGCCGACCUGAGAGGGUGAUCGGCCACACUGGAACUGAGACACGGUCCAGACUCCUACGGGAGGCAGCAGUAGGGAAUCUUCCGCAAUGGGCGAAAGCCUGACGGAGCAACGCCGCGUGAGUGAUGAAGGUCUUCGGAUCGUAAAACUCUGUUAUUAGGGAAGAACAUAUGUGUAAGUAACUGUGCACAUCUUGACGGUACCUAAUCAGAAAGCCACGGCUAACUACGUG